AGUGAACGCUGGCGGUAGGCCUAACACAUGCAAGUCGAACGGCAGCACAGUAAGAGCCUGCUCUUACGGGUGGCGAGUGGCGGACGGGUGAGGAAUACAUCGGAAUCUACUUUUUCGUGGGGGAUAACGUAGGGAAACUUACGCUAAUACCGCAUACGACCUACGGGUGAAAGCAGGGGAUCUUCGGACCUUGCGCGAUUGAAUGAGCCGAUGUCGGAUUAGCUAGUUGGCGGGGUAAAGGCCCACCAAGGCGACGAUCCGUAGCUGGUCUGAGAGGAUGAUCAGCCACACUGGAACUGAGACACGGUCCAGACUCCUACGGGAGGCAGCAGUGGGGAAUAUUGGACAAUGGGCGCAAGCCUGAUCCAGCCAUACCGCGUGGGUGAAGAAGGCCUUCGGGUUGUAAAGCCCUUUUGUUGGGAAAGAAAAGCAGCAGGUUAAUACCCCGCUGUUCUGGCGGUACCCAAAGAAUAAGCACCGGCUAACUUCGUG
rnacentral:rRNA from 1 species